GGGCGUUGAAGGGAGGAAGUGGGGGAUAGGAGUGGAUAACUGCAAGGAGACGAUUAUUCAAUGUAUCUACGGUCAUGCCCAUAAAGCUGGUGUUUGGAGGGAGGGAAGGGUCGAAGAUGAGGGUUUGGACAACGCCUGCAGCGGAUACGGAGUGGAUAGUGCGGUGGCGGAGGGCGCCAACAAUGAAGUGUUGAGCCAAUGGGUCAUAGGCAAGGCCCUCGGGAUAGAGAUUUGGCGACUGAAAAUUGAUGAUGUGAGGCUUUCCUGUGGUUGAAGAGGUGAUGCUGAUGACGAUGAUACCCAAAAAAAGGAAAGAGAUAAAAGACAUGGUUUUUGCAAUCUCUGGUGAGUAACAUGUAGCUACAGGGUGGUGGUUGCAUUUAAUUUCUAGCUUGGGUAGUGGCUUUAAUAUUGUGCUUGUUUUCUUGUCAAAGGGGUUUGUUUUGGACUUUUUGGUUAAACUUGGCGUCUGCUGGUUCUCGAUUUGGAAAAUUCAGUUUAUGAGUAAUGAUCAUACACAUAUGAGAAUAGAUUAUAUUACGUGGCAGAAACAUUGUUAAGAAAGGCAGGAGGAAUAGAGGAUCGUUAUAUGCCCAACACAAAUUAAGGCUGUAUUUGAUAUUUUGGAUUCAGU
rnacentral:misc_RNA from 1 species